rnacentral:rRNA from 1 species
CCAAUAGCGUAUAUUAAAGUUGUUGCAGUUAAAACGCUCGUAGUUGAACUUCGGGGUCUACCCAUUGGUCAGGCUUAAUUGUCUGCACUGGUGAGAUGGAUCUCUACCUUCUGAGGAACUUUCAUGCCAUUUAUUUGGUGUGAUGGGAAAUCAGGACUGUUACUUUGAAAAAAUUAGAGUGUUUAAAGCAGACUAUCGUCUGAAUACAUUAGCAUGGAAUAAUGAAAUAGGACGGACUGAUUCUAUUUCGUUGGUUUCUAGGAUCACCGUAAUGAUUAAUAGGGAUAGUUGGGGGCAUUAGUAUUCAAUUGUCAGAGGUGAAAUUCUUGGAUUUAUUGAAGACUAACUACUGCGAAAGCAUUUGCCAAGGAUGUUUUCAUUAAUCAAGAACGAAAGUUAGGGGAUCGAAGACGAUCAGAUACCGUCGUAGUCUUAACCAUAAACUAUGCCGACUAGGGAUCGGACGAAGUUAAUUUUAUAAUGACGCGUUCGGCACCUUACG